GCCAUGGUGGAGUUGGAUGGUGAUGACAUCAGAAUCUCUUCCAGAGGGAAGCUGGCAGAGAGAGACAUUGUCCAGUUUGUUCCAUUCAGAGACUACAUGGAUCGCACAGGGAACCAUGUCCUCAGUAUGGCCCGGCUAGCCAAGGACGUCCUGGCUGAGAUCCCUGAUCAGUUCAUCUCUUAUAUGAAGAGUCGGGGCAUCAAACCCAACCCUGCACCGCCCCCCUACACACCCUCUGGACACACACACCACACACAGAUCUGACCACCUCACACACACACACACACAUCUUUACACUGAGUACUGAUGAGAGAGACACCAUCAAAGAUUUGCAACCCCGAGGAAUCAUGGGAGGGGAACUCUCUGUCUACUUCCUGAUUGGAACAUCGGGACAGGAAGUGAUGUAAGAGGAAGCUAUUAAAGCUACAGGUGUUUGUGUCAGAACUCUCCCGGACAGGUAACUCUCUGGACUGGGGAAGACAACAGCGUUUCUGUUCAUUGUGGUUCUAUCUAUUCUGUUUGUCUCUCUGGAGGAAAAGAGAGACUGCCAUGGAGCGAUGAUAUGUUGCUGUGCCAUACAAGGACUUGGUGAUCGAUGAAUUGUCUUUUUAUCAACAUACAUGGGCCUGUGACUGUUUUCUCUUGUAUUGUUUAAGAGCAGGUGUGAUCGAGGGGUCAUGUUGUGGUUGAAACUUGUGCCUGUCUGUGGAGUGGUCAUCUAACCGGCCAAGUGGAACCCUUAUAUGAACUCUGACCUCUCACCUUCGACCUUUGAUCUUGCAUGUGAUUGGUGUAUUGGAGCGCGUGUGGUAAGGUGGUGAUGUUUUUAGAAACCUUUCCAUCAGUUUACUAGUUUGUUUUGGGCCUCAGACAUGUCCACAUAUUGACUUGUAGCUUCAUCAUUCUAGUUUGUUUUGGGC